AAAUAUUUCCUGGAGCAAUAGGUGCCUUAGAUGGAACUCUUAUACAUGCGAUCGUGCCUGUUGAUCAACAGACUCGUUACAGGGGAAGAGGAAAAGGUGAAUGCUUUCAAAAUGUAUUAGCAAUUUGUGACUUUGAUAUGAUAUUCACAUUCGUAUGGGCCGGAUGGGAGGGCAUUGCACAUGAUUCACGAGUUUUAAAAGAAGUUGCAUUCAACCCAAUUCUGGCUUUCCUUUUCCGCCACCAGAUAAGUAUUACCUUUGUGACGCUGCGUACACCAACACUCGUGGAUUUAUGACUCCCUACCGUGGUACGAGGUAUUGGUUAGCCGAUUUUCGACGACAACGUGCGUUAACUAAGGAAGAAAGAUUCAAUCAUGCUCACGCACAACUCAGAAAUGUCAUUGAACGUGCAUAUGGUGUUCUAAAGGCGAGAUUCCCAAUCCUAAAGCAAAUGGCUCCCUUUUCUUUUCCAAUACAAAGAGACAUAGUGAUUGCUUGUUUCGCCAUCCAUAAUUUUAUAAGGAAAUGCAAUAUUUAUGAUCAGUUA